GUAGGACCAAAGUAAAUACAACAGAGUUUCUGCUGCCCUGACUCCCACAGCUAUGUCAUAAAGACAGUAUUCCUCAUACAGCUGCAAAAUCUAGAGAUAAGGAAGCCAACACCUUGAAACUCUGACAGAGCAAGGAUCAGUGGCCUAGGACAGCUGGCCAGGAGUUUAAUUCACUGUCCAUUAGCUUACAGCAAUUUUUAGCUCACAAACUCUCUAGGAAUACCAGUUCUCUGCUUUUAAGGAUGACAAAAGGCAAAAAAAGAGGGAUUUUUACAUUUUGCUCUAAGUGAUGCAACAAAAUCAGAGGAAAACUGGACCAGGUGCUCAUGGCACAAUUUGUAGUGAAUUAAGCGAAAGGAAACUGUGUUUGACAUAUGCACAGCUGUGCAGGAACACAAGGA